UUCAGUGAUUCAUAAACAAAUGAAAGUCUCUGAUAAGCCCUGCGGGGAGGAAAGAAAUCUGUGCAUGAUUCUGUUUCACCUGGCAUCUUCUAAAACUCCGGACUUCCCUUCCUCCAUUACUCAGACAUCUAACAACACCUUAUAGAGGUAUUGUUCAGGAAAUACUGGCAUAGUCCACCUCUUUGUAAACAGACAAGCUCAGGCCCUAGAGGUGGUGGAAUUUGGCCAGUGCCACGCAAUCAGAGGUAUAUCAAGCCAUCCUAACCCAGAACUGCCCAGGCAGGCCUGCCUUCAAAACUCAGUUACUGCCACAGAGAAACGGACAAUCACAGGUGGAGAAGUUGAGGCAUCAAGAUGUGUCCAAAGCCUCCAGAUAAAAUUAGGAAGGCUGCCAGACCCCACCUGUGGAUACCAUGUAUCUUCACGGGAAGAUGGAAGCAAAGCCCUCCAGAAGGGCCAGCGGGAGUGGGAGGCUUAGAAGCCCAUGAGAUGAAACUGUGAGUGAACAAGGGCAGGAAGCAAGGUGAUAAUAGUCACGCUGUGUACAGAGUGUCAGGCAGGCACUCCCAUUGGCUCCACUUUGUAAACAUUCUGAAUACGUUAUCAUCGGUUGUCUGCAUGGACUAAAUCUUCCCUACAGCCUUGGAGGAUAGGUAUUUUUAGGAUCCCUCUUCUGUCAUAGGGGAAACUGAAGCUCAGAGUCGUGAAAAGAUUUUCCUGUCCAUGUCUAUCCAGCUAAUGGACAGCAGUGCUGGGAUUUGAACCCAGGUUCCUAGGAGCAUCUGUCAUUUAUUAUUUAUUGGGAACCUUCCUAUGUGUCCCAUACUAUUGUUAUCACAAUACUGCUUUUACAACAAUAAAGACAAUCCUGCUUGCUUGUA